rnacentral:misc_RNA from 1 species
GGGACUUACUCUUACGCAGGGUGCAAUUUUUUGUUUCAAACAAAUUAAAAGCAAAUCUUGUUUCCAUUGGAAGCAUUUACUGUUUGUUAUAUCAUCAUAUCAUUUGCAUUACACCAUUACAGUGGAAGGGAUUUUAGAGAUGGUUAUGCAAUGAGUAUUCCUAGAAUGGGGAUUUGGAAUUGUUGUUACUGGAACUAGAUUUUUAAACCUGUUUUGGUGGUACAAUCAGAGAUAUAAUUGGCGGCAAUGAUGGUAGCCAAGGAGAUGGAAGGUCUAUAGGACAAGAAAAUUCAGGUGGUGAUUUGUUAUGGGUAUGUUUUAGUUCAUUGAUGGGGGAUGAGUCAGAAUUAUUUUGUUGUUCUGUGUCAUUGAUGGAAUGAAUUGAACCCAACUUAACUCACACCCAAAUUGGCAUCCACUAUCAAUUUCUAGCAUUAUAUAAAUUAGUGGAGUUG